AGCGGCAAGAGCUCAAAUUUGAAAGCUGGCUCCUUCGGGGUCCGCAUUGUAAUUUGUAGAGGAUGCUUCGGGAGCGGUCCCCAUCUAAGUGCCCUGGAACGGGACGUCAUAGAGGGUGAGAAUCCCGUAUGGGAUGGGGUGUCCGCGCCCGUGUGAAGCUCCUUCGACGAGUCGAGUUGUUUGGGAAUGCAGCUCUAAAUGGGUGGUAAAUUUCAUCUAAAGCUAAAUAUUGGCCGGAGACCGAUAGCGCACAAGUAGAGUGAUCGAAAGAUGAAAAGCACUUUGAAAAGAGAGUUAAAAAGCACGUGAAAUUGUUGAAAGGGAAGCGCUUGCGACCAGACUCGCUCGCGGGGUUCAGCCGGCAUUCGUGCCGGUGUACUUCCCCGCGGGCGGGCCAGCGUCGGUUUGGGCGGUCGGUCAAAGGCCCUCGGAAGGUAACGCCCCUAGGGGCGUCUUAUAGCCGAGGGUGCAAUGCGACCUGCCUAGACCGAGGAACGCGCUUCGGCUCGGACGCUGGCAUAAUGGUCGUAAGCGACCCGUCUUGAAACACGGACCAAGGAGUCUAACAUCUACGCGAGUGUUCGGGUGUCAAACCCGUGCGCGAAGUGAAAGCGAACGGAGGUGGGAACCCUUACGGGUGCACCAUCGACCGAUCCUGAAGUCUUCGGAUGGAUUUGAGUAAGAGCGUAGCUGUUGGGACCCGAAAGAUGGUGAACUAUGCCUGAAUAGGGCGAAGCCAGAGGAAACUCUGGUGGAGGCUCGUAGCGGUUCUGACGUGCAAAUCGAUCGUCGAAUUUGGGUAUAGGGGCG
rnacentral:rRNA from 1 species